GCCGGUGGUGCAAUGGUUAGCACGUGCUUCCGGAAAGAGUGAGAUGCGGGUUCGAAUCCUGUACAACGUUCAACG